rnacentral:rRNA from 1 species
GACGAACGCUGGCGGCGUGCUUAACACAUGCAAGUCGAACGAUGAACCCGGAGCUUGCUCCGGUGGAUUAGUGGCGAACGGGUGAGUAACACGUGAGUAACCUGCCCUUGACUCUGGGAUAACUGCGGGAAACUGUAGCUAAUACCGGAUACGACCCUCGGCGGCAUCGCCAGGGGGUGGAAAGAAUUUCGGUCAAGGAUGGACUCGCGGCCUAUCAGCUAGUUGGUGAGGUAACGGCUCACCAAGGCGACGACGGGUAGCCGGCCUGAGAGGGUGACCGGCCACACUGGGACUGGGAUACGGCCCAGACUCCUACGGGAGGCAGCAGUGGGGAAUAUUGCACGAUGGGCGCAAGCCUGAUGCAGCGACGCCGCGUGAGGGAUGACGGCCUUCGGGUUGUAAACCUCUUUCAGCAUCGACGAAGCGAAAGUGACGGUAGGUGCAGAAGAAGGACCGGCCAACUACGUGCCAGCCGCCGCCGUAA